UACGAAGGGGGCUAGCGUUGCUCGGAAUUACUGGGCGUAAAGGGCUCGUAGGCGGCCAACUAAGUCAGACGUGAAAUCCCUCGGCUUAACCGGGGAACUGCGUCUGAUACUGGAUGGCUUGAGUUCGGGAGAGGGAUGCGGAAUUCCAGGUGUAGCGGUGAAAUGCGUAGAUAUCUGGAGGAACACCGGUGGCGAAGGCGGCAUCCUGGACCGAUACUGACGCUGAGGAGCGAAAAGCUAGGGGAGCAAACGGGG
rnacentral:rRNA from 1 species